ACAUAGCUGUGCGUCAUGGACGCAUGGUACAUUCUGCUCCAUGGUAUGCUAAAUAGCCGCAGUACUCUGACUGUGCAAAGGUAGCAUAAUAAUUUGGCUUAUAAUUGAAGUCUGGUAUGAAAGAACUCAUGGGAGGUAACUGUCUCCAGGGUAUUAGUACUAAAUUAGUAAGUAAGUGAAAAUACUUACGAGAGAAAAUAGACGAGAAGACCCUAGAAGCUUGCUAUUUGUUUUGUUGGGGCGACAGAAUUGCAUUUAAACCAAUUUUAUAGAUGUGACGUAGAGCAGGAAAAUUAAGCUACUCUAGGGAUAACAGCAUAAUAAAAUUUGUUUGUGACCUCGAUGUUGGACUAGGUAGAAUAGUCCUUAGAAGGGACUAAAAAUGCUCUGUUCGAGCAGAUUAACCUACGUGAUCUGAGUUCAGACCGG
rnacentral:rRNA from 1 species